AAGAGUUAGUUAUUAAUCAAUUGUUGUCAUAUUUAAGCUUUCCUGUUGUAAAAAGCCAAUUGUAUUGCAUGAUGGGAUUUGGCCAAAAUCAUCAUGACAAGGUUUUUUUCUUACGUAAGUUGAAUAGUUCACAGAUCUCUUACAAGUUUUUUUAAUGUAAGUUGAAGAGGUUAAUCAGAUAAGAAGGGGCCAGAGGAUGCCAUUGGGAUGAUUGGCUUUUGGCAAAGAGUGAAAAACAACUCCAUAUUUGGAGGUGGCUGAUGGUAUAUUAACCCCGGUUUUCUGGUAUUUCUUUGUGUGUGCUGUUGGAGUAUUCAGACGUAAAACUGUUGCCUCUGGGUCUCUAGGUCCACACCCGUCAGACGUUAAAUUAAAGCUUUGUAUGGUCUUAAA